rnacentral:RNase_P_RNA from 1 species
UCAGCGGGCCGGGCGGCCGCACUGGGGCGCAUGCGUCGCGGUGAGGAAAGUCCGGACUCCGCCGGGCAAGGGCGCCAGGUAACGCCUGGGCGGCGCAAGCCGACGGAAAGUGCAACAGAAACAUACCGCCCGCGUGCUGCGGGUAAGGGUGAAAUGGUGCGGUAAGAGCGCACCGGUGUCCUGGAGACAGGGCAGCCGUGCAAACCCCGCCCGGAGCAAGGCCGAAUAGGGGAGAAGGGCGCCCGGCCCGUUCGAACUCCCGGGUUGGCCGCGUGAGCGUCGCAGCGAUGCGGCGCCUAGAGAGAUGGUCGCCGCCAUUCCGACUUAACCCAUCGGAGGGCACAGAAUCCGGCUUACAGGCCCGCUGAUCAC